AUAUCCAAAUUAACAAAAAAAAAACCCUAAAUCUGAUUCGGUGAACCACAGAACCAAUUCACACUUCACACGCACAAAUCCAGUCCUCUUCUCUUUCGGUUCUUCUCCUUCAACCGUGUAGAAUCCGCCUCAGCCGGCACCGGAGUAGGCAACUGGCACCGGCACCGUGUUGUCUCCUUCAACCGUCCAACGGCCUCACCUCUGUUUCUCUUCUUCUGCCUUUGGUCUUCUCCUUUCUCGUUCGCCGUCGUCAUCCUUUGGUUUCACCGUCGCCGACUCGUCGUCACAGAGUGCCUCAUACAGAAGACUAUAUUUGAGUGAUGUACCUUGCUUUAUAUGCAGAUAUAUUUUCCUCCAAGAUUGUGGUUGUUUGAUGAUUUUGUUGGCAUCUUUUGAUAGUUUAAGGCGGUUAUUUUAGGAAAAUUUUUCAAUAGUAUUCUUUUGAUGUUUUAAAAAUGAUUAAAUGUUAUAUAAAUUAGCUAUUGUCAUUAAAUUUAUAAAGAACCAAAUCCUAGUUGUAAUGAACCUAUAUUGUAUAAAAAAAUUUUAGUAUUAAUUUUACUUUUAAAAAAA